UACGGAGGGGGCUAGCGUUGUUCGGAAUUACUGGGCGUAAAGCGCACGUAGGCGGCUUUGUAAGUUAGAGGUGAAAGCCCGGGGCUCAACCCCGGAAUUGCCUUUAAGACUGCAUCGCUUGAAUCCAGGAGAGGUGAGUGGAAUUCCGAGUGUGGAGGUGAAAUUCGUAGAUAUUCGGAAGAACACCAGUGGCGAAGGCGGCUCACUGGCCUGGUAUUGACGCUGAGGUGCGAAAGCGUGGGGAGCAAACAGG
rnacentral:rRNA from 1 species